AUUGAACGCUGGCGGCAUGCUUUACACAUGCAAGUCGAACGGUAACAGGGAGCUUGCUCCGCUGACGAGUGGCGAACGGGUGAGUAAUGCGUCGGAACGUGCCGAGUAGUGGGGGAUAACGCAUCGAAAGGUGUGCUAAUACCGCAUACGAACUGAGGUUGAAAGUGGGGGACCUUCGGGCCUCACGCUAUUCGAGCCGCCGACGUCUGAUUAGCUAGUUGGUGAGGUAAAGGCUCACCAAGGCGACGACGGGUAGGGGACCUGAGAGGGUGACCCCCCACAAUGGAACUGAAACACGGUCCAUACACCUACGGGUGGCAGCAGUAGGGAAUAUUGCUCAAUGGGCGAAAGCCUGAAGCAGCAACGCCGCGUGUGUGAUGAAGGCCUUCGGGUCGUAAAGCACUUUUCUGGGAGAUGAGAAAGGACAGUAUCCCAGGAAUAAGUCUCGGCUAACUACGUGCCAGCCGCCGCUGUAACAC
rnacentral:rRNA from 1 species